UUGGGGUAGCUUCCAUACAUAGAUGACUUCGAAUUCCAUAGAAACUAUACUUAUAGCAAAAGCCUCGGCCACGCAUAGCAGACUUUGUCCAUCUGCAAAUCUUUACACCACUAUGUGAGCCAACUACGCUGUAUCCCUGCUUUGUAAGGGCUUUAUACGUAGGAGACUCUGUCGAAACCAUCUCUUUAGUACCCACUGGCAAGGCUGCUUCUGCCUUUGCCUUGGCCAUCAUGGAACCCAUAUCCUCAACAUCCAUAACAUCCGAACUAAGUGAAUCCGUGUUUCCGAUUUUCAAAAGCGUACCGUUUUUCAAGCAUUCUGCUACAGACCUUGUCCACUGUAAUAAAGCGUCAAUUUGAGCAGUAGGUGCCAAUU